rnacentral:lncRNA from 1 species
AGUUCCUCCUGCACCGGGAGUUGGCAGCGGGGCGAGUCUGGAGCUGGCGGGGAUAGGAGAGCGUGGGGCCACGGCUUCUGUGCGCGGGUUGGGUGAUGAUUGAGGACAGUGAUCAGCCUUGCUUAGCGCUUCACCCCUUGCCCCGGGGAAAGCUGGAUGAGGGAUCUCCGGGCUCCUAGACUAAGUGUGGGUUGUCCCGGAACCGCCUGUACCCACUCCGAGUUGAUUUAUUACGGUCCCAUUGCUGUUAGUAUUUUUGUUGUUGUUGUUGUUGUUGUUUGUUUGUUUUUACUCGAGUAAUCCAGGAACUGGCGGAAACGUUGAGUUCCGUACCCGGUGAUUGUUGGCCCCUGGAGUUCGCGGUCCUUUCGGCACUGACUGACUCGGCGACCUCCCCCGCACCGCGCAGACCCCUGCAGGACCCUAGCCGCUCACCUGCCGCCCCCGGCUCCAGACUCCGACGACCCAGCGUGGGUCUCCGGGGAUCCAGUGUCUAGAGUUGGGGGGGUCUCGAGGACGAAGGGAAGUUUUUUAAUGCUACACUUUUUGUUUAAGGUUCUUGCCUGGAAACAUUAAAACACACACACACACACACACACACACACACACACACAAAUUUGUAGGCUGGUCUAAAUGUCUCCAGCUCUAUUUCUUAAUUUCUUGUAAAUCAUGAAUCAUAAAGUGUCAUGGCUAUACGGUGAUCCUAUUAGAAUUCCUCACAGCCGUUUAUUUGGGCUUUUUGUGAAAAACUGCAUAUCAUGUUAAAGAAAAAAUGUAAUGAAUUAUUUAAAGAAUCCUUGCAUGUAUAAAAUGGAAAAUACAACCUAUGCGUGCGUACCUGUAUAUAGUCUCUACUGUUUAAAGCAACACUGCCUUCCACAGGAUAAAAAUAAUGGUAGCAUUUUUUUUUUCAUAAAUAUUAUCUCUGAUAUGGAAGAAAUCCAGAAGUGGCUAAUAAUAUUGACACUAUAACAAUAAUGUCAAUAUUAUUAGCCACUUCUGGAUUUAUGAAUCA